ACAUGCAAGUCGAGCGGACAGAUGGGAGCUUGCUCCCUGAUGUUAGCGGCGGACGGGUGAGUAACACGUGGGUAACCUGCCUGUAAGACUGGGAUAACUCCGGGAAACCGGGGCUAAUACCGGAUGCUUAAUUGAACCGCAUGGUUCAAUUAUAAAAGGUGGCUUUUAGCUACCACUUACAGAUGGACCCGCGGCGCAUUAGCUAGUUGGUGAGGUAACGGCUCACCAAGGCAACGAUGCGUAGCCGACCUGAGAGGGUGAUCGGCCACACUGGGACUGAGACACGGCCCAGACUCCUACGGGAGGCAGCAGUAGGGAAUCUUCCGCAAUGGACGAAAGUCUGACGGAGCAACGCCGCGUGAGUGAUGAAGGUUUUCGGAUCGUAAAACUCUGUUGUUAGGGAAGAACAAGUACCGUUCGAAUAGGGCGGUACCUUGACGGUACCUAACCAGAAAGCCACGGCUAACUACGUGCCAGCAGCCGCGGUAAUACGUAGGUGGCAAGCGUUGUCCGGAAUUAUUGGGCGUAAAGCGCGCGCAGGCGGUUUCUUAAGUCUGAUGUGAAAGCCCCCGGCUCAACCGGGGAGGGUCAUUGGAAACUGGGGAACUUGAGUGCAGAAGAGGAGAGUGGAAUUCCACGUGUAGCGGUGAAAUGCGUAGAGAUGUGGAGGAACACCAGUGGCGAAGGCGACUCUCUGGUCUGUAACUGACGCUGAGGCG
rnacentral:rRNA from 1 species